rnacentral:rRNA from 1 species
UGGUGUUAAACGAAGCGUGAGAGAACAGGCUUGCCCUGCGGGCAGAUACGGAACGGGUGAGUAACACGUGGGUAACCUACCCCGAUGACCGGGACAACCCGAGGAAACUCGGGCUAAUACCGGAUGUGCCCGACGCUCACGAGAACGUCGUGCAAAGGAAGCUUCGGCCUCCGCAUUGGGAGGGGCCCGCGGCCCAUUAGCUAGUUGGUGGGGUAAUGGCCUACCAAGGCUGCGAUGGGUAGCUGGUCUGAGAGGACGAUCAGCCACACUGGGACUGAGACACGGCCCAGACUCCUACGGGAGGCAGCAGUGGGGAAUCUUGCGCAAUGCGCGAAAGCGUGACGCAGCAACACCGCGUGAGGGAAGACGGCCUUCGGGUUGUAAACCUCUUUCAGGAGGGACGAAGGCCGGCCGGUUAACAGCCGUGCCGGCUGACGGUACCUCCACAAGAAGCUCCGGCUAACUACGUGCCAGCAGCCGCGGUAAUACGUAGGGAGCAAGCGUUGUCCGGAAUCAUUGGGCGUAAAGCGCGCGUAGGCGGCCCGAUAAGUCCGCUGGUAAAAGUCAACGGCUCAACUGUUGAAAGCCGGUGGAUACUGUCGGGCUAGAGUACGGAAGAGGCAAGUGGAAUUCCUGGUGUACCGGUGGAAUGCGCAGAUAUCAGGAGGAACACCUAUAGCGAAGGCAGCUUGCUGGGACGUUACUGACGCUAAGGCGCGAAAGCGUGGGGAGCGAACAGGAUUAGAUACCCUGGUAGUCCACGCCGUAAACGAUGAGAACUAGGUGUGGGAGGUGUCGACUCCUCCCGUGCCGUCGCUAACGCAUUAAGUUCUCCGCCUGGGGAGUACGGCCGCAAGGCUAAAACUCAAAGGAAUUGACGGGGCCCGCACAAGCAGCGGAGCAUGUGGUUUAAUUCGAUGCAACGCGAAGAACCUUACCUGGUUGAAAUGUUGUGACAGUGUGAACACAUCCUAAUCGGGCCAUCCAGUGUNCCUGACUGG